rnacentral:rRNA from 1 species
UACGAAGGGGGCUAGCGUUGCUCGGAAUCACUGGGCGUAAAGCGCACGUAGGCGGAUUGCUAAGUCAGGGGUGAAAUCCUGGAGCUCAACUCCAGAACUGCCUUUGAUACUGGCGACGUUGAGUCCGGGAGAGGUGAGUGGAACUGCGAGUGUAGAGGUGAAAUUCGUAGAUAUUCGCAAGAACACCAGUGGCGAAGGCGGCUCACUGGCCCGGUACUGACGCUGAGGUGCGAAAGCGUGGGGAGCAAACAGG